rnacentral:sRNA from 1 species
CAAAACAGGCAAGGGAGUUCAAUUCCUGCCUAUCUCGCGGUCAAGUCUUGGGAGGAUUGGAUCUUAGGCGCGUUCACUCGCUGCCCCGGAAACGGUUAAAGGUCACGCGAAACUUCGGAAACAAGGCCUUCUGGGCCUUGUUUUUUUU